rnacentral:rRNA from 1 species
AGAUUGAACGCUGGCGGCAGGCCUAACACAUGCAAGUCGAGCGGCAGCGCGGGUACUUGUACCUGGUGGCGAGCGGCGGACGGGUGAGUAAUGCCUAGGAAUCUGCCUGGUAGUGGGGGAUAACGCUCGGAAACGGACGCUAAUACCGCAUACGUCCUACGGGAGAAAGCAGGGGACCUUCGGGCCUUGCGCUAUCAGAUGAGCCUAGGUCGGAUUAGCUAGUUGGUGAGGUAAUGGCUCACCAAGGCGACGAUCCGUAACUGGUCUGAGAGGAUGAUCAGUCACACUGGAACUGAGACACGGUCCAGACUCCUACGGGAUGCAGCAGUGGGAAUAUUGGACAAUGGGCGAAAGCCUGAUCCAGCCAUGCCGCGUGUGUGAAGAAGGUCUUCGGAUUGAAAGCACUUUAAGUGGAGGAAGGCAGUUACCUAAUACGUAUCUGUUUGACGUUACGACAGAAUAAGCACCGGCUAACUCUGUG